rnacentral:rRNA from 1 species
UACAGAGGUCUCAAGCGUUGUUCGGAUUCAUUGGGCGUAAAGGGUGCGUAGGCGGCGCGGUAAGUCGAGUGUGAAAUCUCGGAGCUUAACUCCGAAACUGCAUUCGAUACUGCCGUGCUUGAGGACUGGAGAGGAGACUGGAAUUCCCGGUGUAGUGGUGAAAUGCGUAGAUAUCGGGAGGAACACCAGUGGCGAAGGCGGCUCACUGGGCCAUAACUGACGCUGAGGAGCGAAAGCGUGGGGAGCGAACAGG